rnacentral:snoRNA from 1 species
CACCCCUCAGGGUCGCACCAGGAGAGUUUCCAGUAUUCUACCAGUCUCAACUAUGGGAGGGACAGUCAAGCAGAGGCAUACCCAUUUCAUUCCUAGUUUGUACAGUGGCUAGCGAGUGGAAGGCAAUCUGCUACAAGU